rnacentral:rRNA from 1 species
CAUGCAGUCGAACGAUGAUGCCCAGCUUGCUGGGUGGAUUAGUGGCGAACGGGUGAGUAACACGUGAGUAACCUGCCCCUGACUCUGGGAUAAGCGUUGGAAACGACGUCUAAUACUGGAUAUGAUCGCCGGCCGCAUGGUCUGGUGGUGGAAAGAUUUUUUGGUUGGGGAUGGACUCGCGGCCUAUCAGCUUGUUGGUGAGGUAAUGGCUCACCAAGGCGACGACGGGUAGCCGGCCUGAGAGGGUGACCGGCCACACUGGGACUGAGACACGGCCCAGACUCCUACGGGAGGCAGCAGUGGGGAAUAUUGCACAAUGGGCGAAAGCCUGAUGCAGCAACGCCGCGUGAGGGAUGACGGCCUUCGGGUUGUAAACCUCUUUUAGUAGGGAAGAAGCGAGAGUGACGGUACCUGCAGAAAAAGCACCGGCUAACUACGUGCCAGCAGCCGCGGUAAUACGUAGGGUGCAAGCGUUGUCCGGAAUUAUUGGGCGUAAAGAGCUCGUAGGCGGUUUGUCGCGUCUGCUGUGAAAUCCCGAGGCUCAACCUCGGGCUUGCAGUGGGUACGGGCAGACUAGAGUGCGGUAGGGGAGAUUGGAAUUCCUGGUGUAGCGGUGGAAUGCGCAGAUAUCAGGAGGAACACCGAUGGCGAAGGCAGAUCUCUGGGCCGUAACUGACGCUGAGGAGCGAAAGCAUGGGGAGCGAACAGGAUUAGAUACCCUGGUAGUCCAUGCCGUAAACGUUGGGCGCUAGAUGUAGGGACCUUUCCACGGUUUCUGUGUCGUAGCUAACGCAUUAAGCGCCCCGCCUGGGGAGUACGGCCGCAAGGCUAAAACUCAAAGGAAUUGACGGGGGCCCGCACAAGCGGCGGAGCAUGCGGAUUAAUUCGAUGCAACGCGAAGAACCUUACCAAGGCUUGACAUACACCGGAAACGGCCAGAGAUGGUCGCCCCCUUGUGGUCGGUGUACAGGUGGUGCAUGGUGUCGUCAGCUCGUGUCGUGAGAUGUUGGGUUAAGUCCCGCACGAGCGCACCCUCGUUCUAUGUUGCCAGCGGGUUAUGCCGGGGACUUCAUAGGA